UACGUAGGAGACGAGCGUUGUCCGGAGUUACUGGGCGUAAAGCGCACGUAGGCGGCUUUGUAAGUUAAAGGUGAAAGCCCGGGGCUCAACUCCGGAAUUGCCUUUAAGACUGCAUCGCUAGAAUUGUGGAGAGGUAAGUGGAAUUCCGAGUGUAGAGGUGAAAUUCGUAGAUAUUCGGAAGAACACCAGUGGCGAAGGCGACUUACUGGACACAUAUUGACGCUGAGGUGCGAAAGCGUGGGGAGCAAACAGG
rnacentral:rRNA from 1 species